rnacentral:misc_RNA from 1 species
AAUUUCUGGAAAAAUGCAGAGUUGACGACUGCAUAAUCGUCGACGCCGAUGCUCCUGACGGAUGGAAACAGCCGAGUGUCGAUCUUUGUUUCUCCGAAAGAUGAAUCAGAAGCAGAGAACCAGGCUUCGGACGACCAAGAUCCGGCGAAGCUGAUGAUGGAGAAAUCUCGGGUUUUAUCAACGAGAAAUGGCUUCGAAUGUUUGUGAGCUUUAAUGGCGGCGGCCCAGGCGUCUGCGAUGAGGUCUUCCUUCAAACCAG